AUCACAUUUGAAUAGAAGUUUAUAAAAGGAGUCCUUACACAUUUUAAGGAAUCUUGGUGUCUUUUUUUCCCCAACUGUUCUGCAUGACGGUGGAAUGGUUUCAUUUUGGACUUAUGGUGCAAAGUUGGUAUGCAGGCAUGUUAAGUGCAGGGGAAAAAAAGCACCGCACCCACCCAGGAACAUACAACUAAAUCCUGCAUGUGAUCUGGAGGGAGAGAGAAAUCUCGUAGAAUCUUAUCAAAAACUACUCUACGGUCCCAUAGGAAAAAGAAUAAAACGAGAAGAAAGAAGAAGAAGAUUGACUCACCAGACAUUAUUGGCGUGAAGAGGAGCAGGACCCAGUGAAACACCCCAAGCGCCUGUUCUUGGCUCUAUUAUAUGGGCAAGAACGA